GCAAGGCUGCAGUCUGUCCACUGCACUAGAAAGAGAAACAAGUGUGCAACCGGGCUGUACGACAUUCGCAUCUGAAGACAGGCACCAUCAUAUUCCCUUGGAAAAUCAGAAGCCAGUGUAUUGGCAUGCUGGAUGUCAGCUUCGAGGACCUUGAGUGAAUCCUUGAACGAUUUGCGCAUGGAACUGUUGAACAUCUCCACCG
rnacentral:misc_RNA from 1 species